GUGUCAGCAGCCGCGGUAAUACGGAGGGUGCGAGCGUUAUCCGGAAUUACUGGGUUUAAAGGGUGCGUAGGCGGCGCUGUAAGUCAGGAGUGAAAGUUUGCGGCUCAACCGUAAAAUUGCUUUUGAUACUGCAGUGCUGGAAUUAGGAUGAGGUCAGCGGAAUGUGGCAUGUAGCGGUGAAAUGCAUAGAUAUGCCAUAGAACACCAAUUGCGAAGGCAGCUGGCUAGACCUGGAUUGACGCUGAGGCACGAAAGCGUGGGGAGCGAACAGGAUUAGAUACCCGCGUAGUCC
rnacentral:rRNA from 1 species